CAACAACUGAAAGCAACUGAGUUAGCUGACAACAUCCUUCAAUCAUGUGAAUUGGAAUUAUAUUCAACACUUAACUUUGAAAAACCUCUUGACCAUGCAAUUUUAACACCCUUUGCAAUGGCCCAAAGCUUAGCCUACGAGAUAGAACAGUUGUCUGAGUUAUAAGCAUGAGAGAAAAUGAUUGUCCCAUUGUGAUCGCAAAGACCCCCCCUCGCGGAAGCUACAGUACCAUUCGUUGAAACAACUCCAUCUAUAAAUUAAUCUGCACUCGAAGGCCCAAGAAAUAAGGCCAGUAGUCGCUGAAUGACUCUUAUGAUUAUGGAGAGGCAACUACAUAUUCCAAGACUGUUGAAUAUUGAUUAUUAUUCUACGAAUACGGCUCACCAAACUAUCAACAGUUGAUGAGAAAGACGAGAAACCUACAUCAUUUAUGUUUUGCACAAAGCAUAAGCAACCACUCCAAGCACCACGUCCCAAUCUUGCACUCCUAGACAAGAUGGAAGUAGAAUAUUUCCAUGAAACCAAACACAAAGUUCAUUAGAGAAAAAACAGGAACCCACUAGACCUUGACCAAGUUUCUUCCAGACCUGGAUUGCCUAUGUACAAUCACAUAAAUAGUGCAUGAUAGAUUCAGGAUCAGUUUGACAGAUAUGUCAUAAAUUACAAAUUGUUAAACCCUUAGUUUUCCUUAUGUCAUUUGUAGCAAAACAUUCUUUGCUAUUUUUCACCCAUGGAUUCGCAUUCUUUCUAGGCCCCUCCACAUCCGCAUAGCAUGAUACAAAGGAUCCUUAGCUUUUGGAGCAUUAACUACUACCUUAUAUGUUGAAGCCACUGUAAAGUCUCCAUAUCAUUGGUGUGCCUCUAGGCAGUAACAUCCUCUUGGUGUAAGAUCAUUGGUGGAACCAUUGAGAUAAUAGCCUUGCAUAUAUGAGCUGGGAUCACAACCUUUAAUCUUCUAAUAUCUCAUCCUUCUUGGGUAAGAACAAAUUAUGAAACUUCAGCUAGCUUAUUGUUAGAAUUUUAU
rnacentral:lncRNA from 1 species